AAGGAAGUCUUGUGGGGCCAACUAUGAUGCUGAUAAUGGAACUCUCUUGAAAGGGUCCAUUGGUUUGGUCUCACAUAGCGCCUCAGCAUUCUGGUCAGACAAAGUCUCACUGGGCAGCCACAGGCUCUUGUUCAUACCCUGACUGUGACCAGCAGCAGCAGCAGCAGCAGCAGUGUGGUGCAGACAGAAGCAGAGCAAGUGGAGCAGUAAUUAAUCCAUGGUCACAGCAAGCGGAAAGCCCAUUUAAAGCCAGACGACCGACUGACGGACGGUGCACCCCCAUCCUCAAUCACCACCACCCCAAAAAGAUCACCUCUGCGGCUGACGUGACAGUACUCAGAGGGUCGAACACUCCCUUAUCUCUAGAUGGAAAGAUUCUCCAUAGAAAUCAAUGCAGGGGCUUUGUUUUUGCCAAAUACAUGGAGUGAUCCAUCUGGAAUGUCUUCUCCAUCUGGGAAUAUUUGCGCAUGUGGUCAAAAUAAAAAAAACUUUUAUCACUGUC